rnacentral:rRNA from 1 species
UACGGAGGAUUCAAGCGUUAUCCGGAAUCAUUGGGUUUAAAGGGUCCGUAGGCGGUCUUAUAAGUCAGUGGUGAAAUCUCCCCGCUCAACGGGGAAACGGCCAUUGAUACUGUAGGACUUGAAUUAUUAGGAAGUAACUAGAAUAUGUAGUGUAGCGGUGAAAUGCUUAGAGAUUACAUGGAAUACCAAUUGCGAAGGCAGGUUACUACUAAUGGAUUGACGCUGAUGGACGAAAGCGUGGGUAGCGAACAGG